ensembl:misc_RNA Metazoa_SRP Metazoan signal recognition particle RNA
GCUGGGCAUGGUGGUGCAUGCCUGUAUUUCUAGCUACUUGGGAGGCUGAGAUGGGAGGAUCCCUUGAGCCCAGGAGUUCAAGGCUGCAAUGAGCUAGGAUAGAGUCACUGCACUCCAGCCUGGGUGACAGAGUAAGACCCUGUCUCUU